UCGGGUAUGGUGUAGCGGGAACACGGCCUCUCGUGUUAUUGUUGAUAUGUGCGUCAGAGGCAGUUCAGGGUUCGAAUCCCUGUGUCUGAA